UCCAGCCUUCGCCGCUGCUCCCGGCCGGCUGGAGCCGAGAAGUGGGGCGUCGGAGACGAGCGACUGGCGCACAGUGGAGUCCUACAACCUGCGCGGUGGUUCUAAUAAAUGCGUGAGCCUAGAGUUGGGCUUUUGGGAAGAAAAUCGGAAGUGUUUUGUCACGUUACGAGUUUGCAUUCUCCAAGGAAGGAGGGCCCCAAGCCGGAGGCCUUGCCAUGCCGCUGUCUCAGAGCCAGAGCGGCCAGGAUCUGGCAGUUGGACGCUGUCCCCAGAAUCGCGAAACGAAUCACCGGUGGGUACCGGGGAAAGGCGUAAGGUACAAGGAGGGAAGGAGCCCGAGAACCGGGCAAGGAGUGCCAGCCCGGAGCCCGGAGCAUCCUUACGGUUUGCACAACCCACGAGGAACGAGAUCUCAUUCCCUUUUCGAGACACCACCAGCCAAAGGGUCAGUGAGCAGCGCCCUGGGGACCAGUUGCAGGAUUCCAGGGAGUCCCUCGAAGACUUUUAAAGAAGAGUGAAGAGGGCCGAGCAGUGAGGCUGUGUGCGAUGCAUUGGUAUUUCGUGGUGUGUCGAGCUCUUUGAAGAGGAAACCUUAAGAUGAAACCCCUUCCCCAAUUUCACCCACCAAGUUACCCAAAGAGAUUAAUCAGCUUUCCCAAGACCAGAAAAGUAAUUCGUGGCAGAACCAAAGCUCAGGUCUCUUAGACCUCCCGCGCCCAAUGAUUUUUGGUUGGCUUGUUUUGUUUUUUAAUCAUCACAGUGACUCCCAGGAGUCUACCAUGGACUGAAACGAUGCAGUGAAUUUUGAGCUGCAUUUUACUUUAAAUCCCCUUCUUCAAUCAAGUGACAUUAUGAUGAAAGCCAACUAGGAAUAGAAAAGGGUUUGAGCAUGCAGACAAAUUUAACACUGAGGAAAAAAUAUAAAAGGGUUAAAGAUGAAUCCUAUAUUCAGUCUCACAAUGGUUUACAGGAUCUGUUUCUCCUUGUUCAGGAAAUGCCACAGUCUCUUAGCAUUCUUUAAAAACAGCAGGCACCUCUACUGUCUGACAUGUCUAGAUCCUUGGAUAAAAAGCAGGACAAAAUGUACAUUAAAAGCUAUUGAUGAUGCA